rnacentral:snoRNA from 1 species
GGCCUUCUGGUGCUUACCACAGGAUGUGUUCUUGCAUUGACUGUAUAGAAAAAGGAGGCAGAGUGAGCUGGCCCCAUAUACAUCUCAGCCCAGACCUUGUGCCUGGUCUAAAUUGUGAAUGGGGAAACAUGG